UGGCUCAGAACGAACGCUGGCGGCAUGCUUAACACAUGCAAGUCGAACGGUAACAGGCCUUCGGGUGCUGACGAGUGGCGGACGGGUGAGUAAAGCGUAGGAAUCUGCCUCGCAGAGGGGGAUAACACGGGGAAACUCGUGCUAAUACCGCAUACGAUCUAAGGAUGAAAGUGGGGGACUUUAGGGCCUCGCGCUGUGAGAUGAGCCUACGUCCGAUUAGCUAGUUGGUUGUCUAAAGGCCUACCGAGAAGACGAUCGGUAGCUGGUCUGAGAGGAUGAUCAGCCACACNGGUACUGAGACAC
rnacentral:rRNA from 1 species